CUUUAUUCGGGGAAAGCCAGAGCUAUGGAGACAACUCGUAUCCCACGCAGGGUUAGAGGAGUCAACCAUGAGCUAAUUCCAGAUGUGGUCAAUUUGACUGACAAGAAUACCUAGCACAGCAGACAAGACAGAACACCUGCAAAAGAUUCUUCCUGUGAUGAGUAAGGAGAGCACAGGAGCCAUUUCCAAAGCAACGCCUUUCUUCAAGUGUGGGAGUAUUGAGAUUUUACUCAGGGAAUCUAGACACAUUUACACAUAAGUUUGCCUACUCCUAUGAAAGUUAAGUUAAAUUCUUUUCUGAAGAUGGUCAAAUGUAAAAGCUGAGAUAUUGAAGGGCAUUCUUACCUCAUAGUCAUCCAGAAUCAUCCAUAAAUUAUAAAAAUGUUGGACAUAAA